AUUAACGUUCUCCUGUAAUGUUUCCACUAGAUGGCAGCAGAUCCCCACCUGAGCAACAUCUUUUUAUGCUUUGCUUCAUGUUUUACUCCAGCUGCUGCUAGUAGGGCUCCUACACCUUCAGGAAACCUCCCUUCUGCUCCCCCUCCACCUCCCCCAUCUAGGCCAGCACUGCAGGGAACAUUUUCCUCCAUAGAGCUGAUACAAGAGAGGAGAGGAAGAAGAAAGAUGAGCAGAUGGUUGAGGUUUCAAGGCCUGCAGAAAUCCCCAGCAUGCUGGACAUCCUAAAGGAGAAAGACAAGGUGAAGCUGCAGUCUGUGAAAAGAUCGUUUUUCUGGUGCAAAGAGCAGUCAGACCCAGCAGGUCUCAUCGCUGAAGCUCUUAAGCUUAAGUUCGCCCAUCGGAUUCCAAAAAACAGGAUGAGAGGAAGGAAGCGACAAAGAAGAUUGGAAGGUGGCCUUCCCAGAAGCCGAACCUCCAACUGAAACCCCUCUGGUGAGACGCAGGUCUUCAGCCUUCUGGUUCUCUGCUGGAAGUUUGAGCAGCAGAUGCUGAAACCAACCUGGAAGAAAAGGUUCCUUUGACCAGGAGAAGCUGAGCUGCUGAUCCAGGAUCUCUGUGGACUCUUAGAAGCGACUCCUUUAUGCUGAUCCUCUCUGACCUAACCUGCCUGGACCAAAUAUUCAUCAUCCCAUAGAAUCCAUGAUGCUUAUUUAAGUCUUUUCUUCAAGGGAAGAAAAGGUGGUUAUUAAACUGUGAUUUUUAUCUGCAGAGUUCUCUAAAAAAUGUAUUUCAUCUUAAUAAAAGUAUCUCCUUACUCCCUUUUUUGUGCUGAAGCACGUCUUUCUGCAAAUGACCAAGAAAAA